CAGCAGCCGCGGUAAUACGUAGGUGGCAAGCGUUGUCCGGAAUUAUUGGGCGUAAAGCGCGCGCAGGCGGAUCAGUUAGUCUGUCUUAAAAGUUCGGGGCUUAACCCCGUGAUGGGAUGGAAACUGCUGAUCUAGAGUAUCGGAGAGGAAAGUGGAAUUCCUAGUGUAGCGGUGAAAUGCGUAGAUAUUAGGAAGAACACCAGUGGCGAAGGCGACUUUCUGGACGAAAACUGACGCUGAGGCGCGAAAGCCAGGGGAGCGAACGGGAUUAGAGACCCCCGUAGUCCCUGUCUCUUAUACA
rnacentral:rRNA from 1 species